rnacentral:rRNA from 1 species
GCUUACNAUGCAGUCGAACGAUGAAGCCCAGCUUGCUGGGUGGAUUAGUGGCGAACGGGUGAGUAACACGUGAGUAACCUGCCCUUAACUCUGGGAUAAGCCUGGGAAACUGGGUCUAAUACCGGAUAGGAGCGUCCACCGCAUGGUGGGUGUUGGAAAGAUUUAUCGGUUUUGGAUGGACUCGCGGCCUAUCAGCUUGUUGGUGAGGUAAUGGCUCACCAAGGCGACGACGGGUAGCCGGCCUGAGAGGGUGACCGGCCACACUGGGACUGAGACACGGCCCAGACUCCUACGGGAGGCAGCAGUGGGGAAUAUUGCACAAUGGGCGAAAGCCUGAUGCAGCGACGCCGCGUGAGGGAUGACGGCCUUCGGGUUGUAAACCUCUUUCAGUAGGGAAGAAGCGAAAGUGACGGUACCUGCAGAAGAAGCACCGGCUAACUACGUGCCAGCAGCCGCGGUAAUACGUAGGGUGCGAGCGUUAUCCGGAAUUAUUGGGCGUAAAGAGCUCGUAGGCGGUUUGUCGCGUCUGUCGUGAAAGUCCGGGGCUUAACCCCGGGAUCUGCGGUGGGUACGGGCAGACUAGAGUGCAGUAGGGGAGACUGGAAUUCCUGGUGUAGCGGUGGAAUGCGCAGAUAUCAGGAGGAACACCGAUGGCGAAGGCAGGUCUCUGGGCUGUAACUGACGCUGAGGAGCGAAAGCAUGGGGAGCGAACAGGAUUAGAUACCCUGGUAGUCCAUGCCGUAAACGUUGGGCACUAGGUGUGGGGACCAUUCCACGGUUUCCGCGCCGCAGCUAACGCAUUAAGUGCCCCGCCUGGGGAGUACGGCCGCAAGGCUAAAACUCAAAGGAAUUGACGGGGGCCCGCACAAGCGGCGGAGCAUGCGGAUUAAUUCGAUGCAACGCGAAGAACCUUACCAAGGCUUGACAUGUUCUCGAUCGCCGUAGAGAUACGGUUUCCCCUUUGGGGYGGGUUCACAGGUGGUGCAUGGUUGUCGUCAGCUCGUGUCGUGAGAUGUUGGGUUAAGUCCCGCAACGAGCGCAACCCUCGUUCCAUGUUGCCAGCACGUCGUGGUGGGGACUCAUGGGAGACUGCCGGGGUCAACUCGGAGGAAGGUGAGGACGACGUCAAAUCAUCAUGCCCCUUAUGUCUUGGGCUUCACGCAUGCUACAAUGGCCGGUACAAUGGGUUGCGAUACUGUGAGGUGGAGCUAAUCCCAAAAAGCCGGUCUCAGUUCGGAUUGGGGUCUGCAACUCGACCCCAUGAAGUCGGAGUCGCUAGUAAUCGCAGAUCAGCAACGCUGCGGUGAAUACGUUCCCGGGCCUUGUACACACCGCCCGUCAAGUCACGAAAGUUGGUAACACCCGAAGCCGGUGGCCUAACCCUUGUGGGGGGAGCUUC